rnacentral:rRNA from 1 species
CUAUCCGCCAGAGAAUUACAAGUGAAAAACUUAAAACUCAAAGGACUUGACGGUGACCCAUACCCCACUAGAGGAGCCUGUCCUUUAAUCGAUACCCCACGAUACACCUCACCCCCCCCUUACCUGUUAAGCCUAUAUACCGCCGUCCCCAGCCUACCUAUGAUAGAUAGAAGCAGGUAAAAUAGUCCCGUUACUACACGUCAGGUCAAGGCGUAGCUAAUGGGGCGGAAAGAGAUGGGCUACAUUUUCUAACCUACCAGACCACACUGUAAGCUUUAUGAAACCUAAGCUGAAAGGCGGAUUUAGCAGUAAGCAAUGACAAGAUAUGCCGGACUGACUGCUCUAGGUCCCGU